rnacentral:rRNA from 1 species
UUUAUGGUACGAACCCCUAUAGUUGUAUCAACAGAGUAACCUCCUCAGAGUUUGAUGAGGAACUAGAGGUUGAUCUAGCCUCAACUGUGAGAUUGACCUCCGAAAGGAUGGGUGAUACCGCAUGUGGUUAUUGGAUUUUGAAACCGGUAACUAUUGGAUCAAUUCGCUUGGGGAGGGACCUGCGUCCCAUCUGGUAAGGGGUGAGGUAAUGGCUCACCAAGGGGACAACGGGUGGGGGACCUGAGAGGGUGACCCCCCGCGAUGUAACUGAAACACGGCCCAUACUCCUACUGAUGGCAGCACCAUGGAAUAUUGGUCAAUGGGCGAAAGCCUGAAUGAGCAACGCCGCAUGUGUGAUGAAGGCCUUCGGGUCUGAAAGAACUUUUCUGGGAGAUGAGAAAGGACUUUAUCCCAGGAAUAAGUCUCAGCUAACUACAUGCCUACAUCCGCGGUAAAACCUAGGAGGCAACCGUUAUCCGGAUUCACUGGGAGUCAAGCUCGUGCUUGUGGGGCGGUAAGUUGGGCGUGAGAUCUCCCGGAUCAACUGGGAGAGGUCUCCCAAUACUACCGUGCUUGAUAGCCCAAUACGAAGAUGGAAUUCCCGGUAUAAUGGAGAUAUGCUUACAUAUCGGGAGGAACACCACUGGCAAAUGCGAUCUUAUGGUCUGGUUCUGACACUCAGACGCGACAGCUACGGUAGUACACAGGAUUCGAGACCCCGGUAAUACUAGCCUUAAGCCAUGUGAACUUGGAGUUGGUGGCUUUAACUACUUCAGUGCCGUAGCAAACACUAUAUGUUCACCGUCUGAGGACUACUGCCGCAACGUAUAACUCCUACGAAUUGACGGGUGUCCGCACAAGCGGUGGAGCGUGUGGUUUAAUUCGACUCGACGCUGAGAAUCUAUUUCCGCGCAUGACAUGGCAACGUAUCGCCCUUGAGAUGGAGCCCUUCUCUCAGAUCCUAUACACAGUGCUUCAUGACUGUCAUCACUGCUGUCAGAGAUGUCGUGUUAGUCCUCAGCGAAUGUCAGCCUCACGUCCUUCGAUCGCAUCGCAUUCACUUGACUACACU